rnacentral:rRNA from 1 species
CUACGGGGGGCAGCAGUGGGGAAUAUUGGACAAUGGGGGGAACCCUGAUCCAGCCAUGCCGCGUGUGUGAAGAAGGCCUUUUGGUUGUAAAGCACUUUAAGCAGUGAAGAAGACUCUUCGGUUAAUACCCGGGGACGAUGACAUUAGCUGCAGAAUAAGCACCGGCUAACUCUGUGCCAGCAGCCGCGGUAAUACAGAGGGUGCAAGCGUUAAUCGGAAUUACUGGGCGUAAAGCGAGCGUAGGUGGCUUGAUAAGUCAGAUGUGAAAUCCCCGGGCUUAACCUGGGAACUGCAUCUGAAACUGUUAGGGUAGAGUAGGUGAGAGGGAAGUAGAAUUUCAGGUGUAGCGGUGAAAUGCGUAGAGAUCUGAAGGAAUACCGAUGGCGAAGGCAGCUUCCUGGCAUCAUACUGACACUGAGGCUCGAAAGCGUGGGUAGCAAACAGGAUUAGAUACCCUUGUAGUC